UACAGAGGUCCCAAGCGUUGUUCGGAUUCAUUGGGCGUAAAGGGUGUGUAGGUGGCGCCGUAAGUCGGGUGUGAAAUUUCGGAGCUUAACUCCGAAACUGCAUUCGAUACUGCGGUGCUUGAGGACUGGAGAGGAGACUGGAAUUCAUGGUGUAGCAGUGAAAUGCGUAGAGAUCAUGAGGAAGACCAGUGGCGAAGGCGGGUCUCUGGACAGUUCCUGACACUGAGACACGAAGGCCAGGAGAGCAAACGGG
rnacentral:rRNA from 1 species